CCUACGGGUGGCAGCAGUGAGGAAUAGUGGUCAAUGGACGAGAGUCUGAACCAGCCAAGUAGCGUGAAGGAUGACUGCCCUAUGGGUUGUAAACUUCUUUUAUAAAGGAAUAAAACGAAGCACGUGUGCCUUUUUGCCUGUACUUUAUGAAUAAGGAUCAGCUAACUCCGUGCCAGCAUCCGCAGUAAUACUGAGGUUCCGAGCGUUAUCCGGAUUUAUUGGGUUUAAAGGAAGCGUAGAUGGGUUGUUCAGUCAGUUGUGAAAGUUUGCGGCUCAACCGUAAAAUUGCAAUUGAUACUGGCAGUCUUGAGUACAGUUGAGGUAGGCGGAAUUCGUGGUGUAGCGGUGAAAUGUUUAGAUAUCACGAAGAAACCCGAUUGCGAAGGCAGCUUACUAAAAUGGGACUGACAUUGAUGCUCGAAAGUGUGGGUAUCAAACAGGAUUAGAUACCCCUGGUAGUC
rnacentral:rRNA from 1 species